CCUACGGGAGGCAGCAGUGAGGAAUAUUGGUCAAUGGGCGAGAGCCUGAACCAGCCAAGUCGCGUGAGGGAGUACUGCCCUAUGGGUUGUAAACCUCUUUUGUCGGGGAGCAAAAGCCGGACGUGUCCGGCUGUGAGAGUACCCGAAGAAAAAGCAUCGGCUAACUCCGUGCCAGCAGCCGCGGUAAUACGGAGGAUGCGAGCGUUAUCCGGAUUUAUUGGGUUUAAAGGGUGCGCAGGCGGAUUUUUAAGUCAGCGGUAAAAUCGUGGGGCUCAACCCCAUCCAGCCGUUGAAACUGGGGAUCUAGAGUGUGCGAGAGGUAUGCGGAAGGCGUGGGGUAGCGGUGAAAUGCAUAGAGAUCACGCAGAACCCCGAUGGCGAAGGCAGCAUACCGGUGCACAACUGACGCUCAGGCACGAAAGCGUGGGUAUCGAACAGGAUUAGAUACCCGAGUAGUC
rnacentral:rRNA from 1 species